ACGCACGCUGGCGGCGUGCUUAACACCUGCCAGUCGAACGGAAAGGCCCCUUUGGGGGUACUCGAGUGGCGAACGGGUGAGUAACACGUGAGUAACCUGCCCUUGACUUCGGGAUAACUUCAGGAAACUGGGGCUAAUACCGGAUAGGAAUCCUUGCUGCAUGGUGGGGGUUGGAAAGCUUCGGCGGUUUUGGAUGGACUCGCGGCUUAUCAGCUUGUUGGUGGGGUAGUGGCUUACCAAGGCUUUGACGGGUAGCCGGCCUGAGAGGGCGACCGGCCACAUUGGGACUGAGAUACGGCCCAGACUCCUACGGGAGGCAGCAGUGGGGAAUAUUGCACAAUGGGCGGAAGCCUGAUGCAGCAACGCCGCGUGCGGGAUGACGGCCUUCGGGUUGUAAACCGCUUUCAGCAGGGGCGAAGCUUGUGGUGACGGUACCUGCAGAAGAAGCACCGGCUAACUACGUG
rnacentral:rRNA from 1 species